UACAGAGGUCCCGAGCGUUGUUCGGAUUCACUGGGCGUAAAGGGUGCGCAGGUGGGUUGGCAAGUUCGAUGUGAAAGCCCCGGGCUUAACCCGGGAAUGGCAUUGGAAACUGCUGAUCUGGAGGAUCGGAGGGGGGACUGGAAUUCUUGGUGUAGCAGUGAAAUGCGUAGAUAUCAAGAGGAACACCGGUGGCGAAGGCGGCGAGCUGGUCCAUUACUGACGCUGAGGCGCGACAGCGUGGGGAGCAAACAGG
rnacentral:rRNA from 1 species